UUGUGUGAGUGACCAAAAUGAGGCGCCUGAUUAGCAUAAAGCGCGAGCGCUGGGAGCGCCUACUCCUACGAAUGGAGCAGAUGAAGAAACUCCAGAGCCGGGCCUACUAAUGUCCUGGCCAAAAGGCUAAACCCAAGGGUGUUAGAGAGAGCCAAAACUGAUCCGGGGAUGAGGACGAGUUGGAGGAGAUGGCAAUCAGCAAGCUUUGCGGAUGAGUCGGACUUGUGCCACAUGGCGCAUCCUUCCAUGGAUGAUUUGGAGGAUGUGUGACUUUAGCGCGAAUAAAAAGAGUCUGGCCAUGGGAAAA